GUUUUUUUGCCUGCAAAACAGUUGUAGUUGAUGAUGUAGCAGGCGAUGACCCCAGAGGACUGACAUUGCAGUGGUUGUUCAAAAAUCAUCACCACUGUUUAACAGAAUAAAGCUCUCAGAUAAAUACUAACCAGUCUUUAAUGGAGGUGUGGCUGCAGGCGAAGGACUGGUGACGUAAUUUUCCUCUCCCACCAUGAGAUUCUCAAAAGACCCUUGGAUGGAGCCAGACUGCGUCAUAAGUGUGCCAUUGUGCCCUGAUGUUUCAGGCUUUGUGAUGGAGCUUAAAAUCUGUGUGAGCACAACGUGCUGUUUAUCUUGAAAAGUCUCCAUGUUUUAUUUGUUGUUCACUUCUACAUUUGUAUUAAAUGUCUGGAAUUUUUUCAGUAGAGUUUUUCUCUGUAAUUGGUUUGAUGGUUGUCAACAAAGGUUGGUCUUUGUUCAUUCUCUCAUUGCUAUUUAUGUGGGUAUGGGUGGAUGUAGUCAACUGAACAACCAUUGUGGAUGUGGCUUCAUCAGAGGCACUGUUAUUGUUAGCUAAAAUGAUAUCUUCAUCAUCAAUAUACUGGGUACGUUUUUGUGGAAUUGGAGUGUUAAGGCGAAUACCUAACUCUUCCACCUUGUAAGACUAAUGCUGGACUGUCUGGACCAAGAAAGGGCUACUCUUUGAGAAAACAAAGGAAAUUAACAUUUGAACUCUCUUUUGCAAAAUUAGCAUCCCCAUCCGAGACGCAAUCACACUGAGUCAAUCACACCUCAGCAAUACCUUAAUCUACAUUUCCCUUCUUUCACCCCCUCUUCCCCCAUCUCUUCUCUCUACAUAUGGAGAUGACCUUAAAUUCACCCAAAAUCUAUAUGGUUCAAUGUGAACAGUUAUCACACAAUACUAUACAUGUUUGGUAUCAUUUGAAAUGUCUCAGUGCGACUGGUACAAAGGUCUCAUUCCCAUUGAAGUAAACCAGAAAAAGGUUUUAAGAUUUUAGAGAUAUUUUGUCCCCUUCUGUCCCCAAAAGGUGUAAACUACUCAGUCUAGGACCCUGAUUAAUGCAAAUUCCCAUUGAGAACAUGUUUCCAUUUGAAAGAAGUUUCUGUCUUGGUCUGGGUAUUUGAAGAGAUGUUGCAGGAGGCUCAGGGCUCCUUCAGACACUCAGCAAUGUGCAUUUUUCUAAUGUCAGGUAUUCAUCUUUUACUCUGUUUCUGAGCAUUUGAUGUUUGUAUUGAUCAUCUUUGAAAUGAUUAUGUAAUUGGCAUGAUACAUUUACCUGACUAAUAAAUUGUUACAUUUGACUUUA